ACACGCUGUUGAUCGAAAAUUUGUAUAAAUAUGUGAUUUGGAGGAAAUUUUACUUAGUUCAUCUUCUCAAUAGAACACAACGUUGAACAUUUGCAAAUCUUUCAAUUCGCUUAAUCCUAUAUUCUGUACAUAAACGGUGACAAGGAAAAUGUCAAGAAUGAGCUUGAAAAUCACGUUAUGGCUUUGCGUCACUUCAAUUUCAAUUGUUCACAUAGUUGCUUCAAAUCCAUCUUUAGUCUGCCCAGGGCAUAUGCCCAAUGGUGUUCAUACUGGAAGAUUUAUUGGAAUUAUCGACAAAGAUGACUGGGGUACGACGAAUUACAUAUUUAAACCUGAUAAUGGUGAUCCUGGAUGUGUCCAGUUUAAUUAUAAAGAAAAUGAAGUACGAAGCAAAAUUAUCGCGAACGCAUUUUUGUUAAGAGCUCACGUUACAAUAAGCGUUGGCGGUGUACAUUGGAUAACAGGGAUUGGAUACUAGUUUAAAGCAUGACUGAUGAUAAAUUUCCUAAAAAUCAUUUUAAAUUAUCUGAAUUAUGUACAUUUUAAAUCAUGUUGUCUACAAAGUUUAAUAAAAAAAUGUUUUGAUCAUAAAAUAA